GGGAGGUGCUGCUAUACAGGGAGGGGAGGUGCUGCUGCAGAGGGAGGUGCUGCUAUACAGGGAGGUGCAGCUACAGAGGGAGGUGCUGCUGCAGAGGGAGGGGAGGUGCUGCUGCACAGGGAGGUGCUGCUGCAGAGGGGAGGGAGGUGCUGCUGCACAGGGAGGUGCUGUUGGGCUUCACUGCUGUUAUCAGCGUGGGGGGAAUGAACCGGCUGUGAAACAGGCCAGGAAUGUUCCAGACCUGCCAGGGCCUGUCAAUCA